CAUAUCAAUAAGCGGAGGAAAAGAAACCAACAGGGAUUGCCUUAGUAACGGCGAGUGAAGCGGCAAUAGCUCAAAUUUGAAAGCUGGCCCCUUCGGGGUCCGCGUUGUAAUUUGUAGAGGAUGAUUCGGCGAGGGCUCCCGUCUAAGUCCCUUGGAACAGGGCGUCAUAGAGGGUGAGAAUCCCGUAUGUGAUGGGCUGCCUUAGCCAUGUGAAUCUCCUUCGACGAGUCGAGUUGUUUGGGAAUGCAGCUCUAAAUGGGAGGUAAAUUUCUUCUAAAGCUAAAUACCGGCCAGAGACCGAUAGCGCACAAGUAGAGUGAUCGAAAGAUGAAAAGCACUUUGGAAAGAGAGUUAAAAAGUACGUGAAAUUGUUGAAAGGGAAGCGCUUGCAGCCAGACUUGUCCGCAGUUGCUCAGCUUGUCUCCUGACAGGCGUACUCUUCUGCGGCCAGGCCAGCAUCAGUUCGGGCGGUCGGAUAAAGACCCGGGGAAUGUAGCUCCUCUCGGGGAGUGUUAUAGCCCUGGGUGCAAUGCGGCCAGCCUGGACUGAGGAUCUCGCUUCGGCUAGGAUGCUGGCGUAAUGGCUGUAAGCGGCCCGUCUUGAAACACGGACCAAGGAGUCUAACAUCUAUGCGAGUGUUUGGGUGUCAAACCCAUGCGCGUAAUGAAAGUGAACGGAGGUGGGAACCCUCACGGGUGCACCAUCGACCGAUCCUGAUGUCUUCGGAUGGAUUUGAGUAAGAGCAUAGCUGUUGGGACCCGAAAGAUGGUGAACUAUGCCUGAAUAGGGUGAAGCCAGAGGAAACUCUGGUGGAGGCUCGCAGCGGUUCUGACGUGCAAAUCGAUCGUCAAAUUUGGGUAUAGGGGCGAAAGACUAAUCGAACCAUCUAGUAGCU
rnacentral:rRNA from 2 species